CAGGCGACGCGCUCCCAGGACACGCCGGGCGCACGGCAACCCCGCGGGCCCCCAGCGCGCGUCGCGGCCGCUCCGUGCAAACCAGCCGCUUCCCUAAGUCUGGCUGCUUCCCUAACCUUUCCUCCUUGCUACGUCCCCACCUCACGAGAGUGGUGGGAGACAAACUCGCAGGUACCUGUUCUCUGCAUUUCACACAUGAGGAAACCAAGACUCAGAGAAGCCAUGGAAUACGAUUUCUGUGACUCGGGAUGUGGCAGAGUCAGGAUGAGAAGUUCCAUCUGAUGCCAAAACUCAUCUCUUCGUUCUUUCCACAAAAAGAACAGGGGUCCGCACUGUGGCACAGCAGUGGAUGUGCCCCUGCAUCCUCACAUUCAGCGGAAGAAAGGAUCCUAGAAGAGGUGUUGACCUGUGUUCCAAGCAUCCAACAAUAUGGAGGAUUCAGAGAAGAUUUAAAACAAGUGAUAUCUGAUCAAGAACUGGGAAAUAAUGCCAACUAGGAAAGACCAUAGAAGCAGGACUGUGGAAUUCCACCACAUAAACCGCAUUCAACCUUUCCUGUGUCCAAGCACUGUUCUAGGCACAUUCUUUACUUUGAGACAAACAAACAAGCAGGAAAAAGAUCUUACAAGGACUGCACAUGCCAAGCUAUACAUCAGGAUCUCAACAAGGACUCACCGGCCACUCCGAUGGGCCAUACCUGUGCCAAGUGAGAGGCCAGGGCUGUUCCCUGUACACAAGGAGCUGACGUUCUAGUCAAAGAAAAGAGCUACUGAAGCAAAAGCAAUGACUAUAAAUGGCAAUCCUCUGUAUGUAUUUGCAUCAAAGACAAUGCUGUAACAAAGUGCUACAUCGUGUGAGGGAAAAGCCAUUGGAGAUUGAGUGCAGACCCAGUGAUGCUUUGGGGAGCUGCACAGAAGGGGGAGGGAGUGGAACAUUUCCUGAAACCUUCUCCAUGCCAGCCAUUUACCCGACAGUGCUGCAGGAUAGGGAACACAGUAUUGUUUCUGUCUUACAGAACAGAAAAUGCAGCCUCAGAGAAACUUAGCAGUGCUCAAGAUUACUCAGGAAGUAGGGGAAAGGUCUGUCUGGUGCCAAAAGCCAGGCAAUUUCUCCCCGCAGCUGUAGAGGAAAUUCUCAUCAAAUCCGCGGGCACCCAAGAAGAGGGCCCAGGGCUUUCCAGGUGGGAGCACACAGACAUGCAGGUGGAACAAGGAGAACGUGCUCCAGCCCCAGCAGGAGAGAGUGUAUUUGGCCGUGAUCCUGAAGGUGGCUCAUUCAGCAUUGCCUGAGAUUUCCAAGAGACACAAUCCCCUUCUCCACAAAUCUGUUAAAAGUGGCAUCUUGAAAAUUCCUUCUUUGUUUCUUCUCUCUUGAGGCAAGGGGGCAAAUGAAGAGACCUUUCAAUGUCUCCUCUACCCAAUGAAUCUCUGACUCUACGAGUUUCCUUCCCAAGACACUGUGGUCCAGAUGUUUUAAGCACUGUUUCCCUCCCAGCCUACAUGAUAACACGGGCAAAUAAUUUCUGUCAACAUCUAAUUGCACCAGCAAUGAGUCCCCCGUGCAUCAUUGGAGGGCAUAAAUGGGUAAUUGGAGCCCUGGUUAGUGGGAUGAGGUCACACUCUCCUGCUGGUUAAGAUGCAGACACUGCAGACAGAAGCCGUUCCUUUUAAGACUUAUAUUCCAGAUAGCAGCUGAAAAGGGCAAGAACAUUGUUCCAAGAAGCAGAAAGCAAAAGAAACAAAGAUUUCCUUGCUUUGGUCCAUGGGUCUACUCCCAUUGUAUCUCAAGUUGUAAUCCCAAAGACAAGGUCAAGGUCAUAACUAUGUCUCUUCUUGGGUUUAAGGCAGAGAGGCUCCUCUGGAAUCCCAGGCUUAAGAACUCUUGUGCUGGGCUUGGGUCAAUGGCCUCCAAGGACGUAAGAAGAGGAAGAGGAAGAACCCAGUACCAGCCAUGCCUAACUUCUUUUUCCCCCACUGAAGUCAAGGAAUAAAGGCAACAGUGAGGUGAGAAUCCCAAGAAGAGGAUUUCAUCCUUCAGCAAAAAACAAGACCUUCUCCCUGGAGAUCUUGGGAUGCCAUUUGCCCUCCAAAUCCAGAGGGAAAUCCUUGAAAGCAAGAAGACUAAGUCUCAUUUAUCAGUCUAAUUAUCAGCAAGGUGUAGUUUGUAGUGCAUACCUGGAGCACCUUCCUUUCCUGUCUAACAAAGUAUGCACCUUUGGUCCACAUCCACCUACCCAUCACAAAAGGAGUAAAAAAGACUCGCUUGUCCUUGAUUUUGAGAGAUGUUUUUAGUCAGAUCUAAAACAUGGUACUGGGGGGCCGGCACCAUGGCUCACUUGGUUAAUCCUCCACCUGUGGCGCUGGCAUCCCAUAUGGGUGCUGGGUUCUAGUCCCGGUUGCUCCUCUUCCAGUCCAGCUCUCUGCUGUGGCCUGGGAGGGCAGUGGAGGAUGGCCCAGGUGCUUGGGCUACUGUACCCACACGGGAGACCAGGAGGAAGCACCUGGCUCCUGGCUUCAGAUUGGCAUAGUUCCAGCUAUAGCAGCCAUUUGGGGAGUGAACCAACGGAAGGAAGAUCUUUCUCUCUCUCUCCCUCUCUCUCUCUCUCGCGC